rnacentral:misc_RNA from 1 species
UCGCUCGUCUUCACAUCCUCCGAUGCCAUUGAUCAGCAAAACCCUAAGUCGUGAAGAAAAAAAAGAGAUGUCGGGUUUCACCGGCAACCGAUCAGGUGAGACCUUAUCUCGCGCGUUUAUGGUAGAGCAAGAUUCUGCAUUUCUCUUCGUACCCAAAAAAUAACAGAGUACUAGUGGUGGUGGCGGGUGACGGCUCCUGAGAAAGGCGCAAGCGAUGUCUCAACUUUAGCUACGCGACAGUGUGCGUGCGUCUGGUGCUGUGGUGACUGACGGCGUCUAUUCUUUUGAUUGGGAGUAUUACUGUUUAUGUUUCUUUUUUUUGUGUUUCCUUGAGCGUCUCGUCUGUUUUCAACUAAUUUAAUAUAUUAAAAUUUUAUUUUUU